UUACAACUUAUUUGGAACUUCUUUGUGUUAUUUUGAGUAUGUAUGUUUUUGAGUCUCUUGUAUCUCACAGUGAGUUUAUCUUUGUCAUGUUUACUAUAUAAAAAUUUUUGCUUGCUUUUUUAGUUCAACAUUACUAACUAGAUUAUGAGCUUUUACAUACCCAACAACAUCAAUAUCAUCCAAGUAAGUUUUACUCUUUUUUCCUAAGUUCAUCUCUAACUAUGAUCUACUUACUCUUAAUACUCACUUAAAAUCUCUAACUAUGGGCAGGUAACCCACAAUCAUUUAAGCACAAUUUGUUGGAACCAAGAGAACCAUACACUGCGGCCUACUUCAUCACAGACCUUUUUUUUUUACUUUCCUUUUCUCCUUACCGGUUAGAUCUCAGCCGUUCUCAUGGGAAAAUAAUGUUUAUCUUUCUUUAGUUAUAUUGAAUGGAAAAGAAUCAAAUGUUUUUUUAUGAGUCAAAAAUUGUAUUAAAAGUGAGUCUAAGGAGCACUUAACUCAAGAUCAAUUGUUUUUUUACUACACACAUCAUUACCCAUUGAUUUUGAAGGUCACUAGCUUGACUUAACUCCUAUUUUAUGCAGUUUUUUCGAGCUUAAUUUAGAGGUUGUGAAAGUAUGUAUUUUUUCUUUGUUUAACUUUUUUAUUU
rnacentral:lncRNA from 1 species